UCUAAAAGUGAAAGAGAAAAGAUGGCUACAUUUCCAUCGGUUGUCAAAGCAAGAACAUCCCAUGUCAGCAGCGUUGGCAGUUGGGUGAGGAAAGGGUUGAUCCUUAAAAUGCAACUCCUUGUCCCACAGGACCCCUCCGCCAGCAGAAGGAGCGGAGAGGGCCUCUCCCUGGCAGAGUGUGGCCAAACCUCAGUUGUGCCUAAGGGAGCUUCCCGGUCUCUUCAGAGCAGGUGUCAGUAAGAAAAAAGGGUGUUAGUAAAAGUGUGUUGCACACUUACAGAACCUACAACCCUCCUGAAUUAGUGGGACGUCUCCGUUAUUCCAGUUUUGAGCAUCUUUUCCCUUCUCUCCAUGGGUUUGAAGAAAGAAUAGCACUUCAGCUCUCUGCCGUUUGGGGGGCUUUGACGUCAGAGCAGGUUAUGUCAAUUGGGGGGGGGGAUUUCAAUGUUGCUCUUUAAAGAUUUCGGAGUGUGGAUGUUUGUCUUGAUUUAGACACAUUGAAAAUCUGGAGUCCCUUCAGCAGAACCUGAAGGAGGACCGAAUGUGGUGGAUGCAGGCUGGCGCGCUCCUGCCUGAACGGGGAUUACGAUGAGGCCUUGCUUGCCGCUGACUUUCGGGAACCCAGUGAAAGAGGUCAUUAGCCCUGGUGGAUGAGACAAUAACCCCAGCAGCUCUGAUAGUGGCUCCCCCCUACCCAGGCCAUUGACCUCUGCCUAGCUCUGCCGCCAUAACGGUCUCCUGUCCGUGGACCCUCCAGGAUAACUGGCAAGUAUGAAGGCUUCUCCUGCAAACCACCAGCCUCCGCCAGCUCUCCUUUGGCUCAGAAAAAAUUAACAACAAGGCCUUCAGGUGCUGGAGAUGAGGAGCAAGAAGCAGGACUCUCAAGAAGCGAUGGGACAGCCUUCGUGCCGCUGGUGGGCCAGGAAUACCUGCAAAAAAUGUCAUUGCUCACAGGAAAUGUCCAGAACGUUUAUCGGAAGGCGGGACUUGCUCGCCUCAGAGGGCCGUGUCUGUCAGCCAAAAGGCAAUGCACGCACGCACCAUCUGCCUCUGGGGUCUUCCCCAAAUGGCAGCCACUUCAGUAGUUUUGAAGUUCUUCUAAUUGGCUUCCCUUUUGUACUGCAAAAAUAAAUGAAGUUUGUGGGGUUUUUUCCUAAUGCUC